rnacentral:rRNA from 1 species
GCAUAUCAAUAAGCGGAGGAAAAGAAACCAACAGGGAUUGCCCCAGUAACGGCGAAGUGAAGCGGCAACAGCUCAAAUUUGAAAUCUGGCCCCCCCGGGCCCGAGUUGUAAUUUGUAGAGGAUGCUUUUGGUGCGGCGCCGCCCGAGUUCCCUGGAACGGGACGCCAUAGAGGGUGAGAGCCCCGUCUGGCUGGACGCUAAGCCUCUGUAAAGCUCCUUCGACGAGUCGAGUAGUUUGGGAAUGCUGCUCAAAAUGGGAGGUAUAUGUCUUCUAAAGCUAAAUACCGGCCAGAGACCGAUAGCGCACAAGUAGAGUGAUCGAAAGAUGAAAAGCACUUUGAAAAGAGGGUUAAAUAGUACGUGAAAUUGUUGAAAGGGAAGCGCUCGUGACCAGACUUGGGCUUGACGGAUCAUCCGGCGUUCUCGCCGGUGCACUCUGCCUCGUCCAGGCCAGCAUCAGUUCGCCGCGGGGGAGAAAGGCUUCGGGAACGUGGCUCCUCCGGGAGUGUUAUAGCCCGUCGCGGAAUACCCUGGGGCGGACUGAGGUUCGCGCAUCUGCAAGGAUGCUGGCGUAAUGGUCAUCAGCGACCCGUCUUGAAACACGGACCAAGGAGUCGUCUUCGUAUGCGAGUGUUCGGGUGUCAAACCCCUACGCGUAAUGAAAGUGAACGCAGGUGAGAGCUUCGGCGCAUCAUCGACCGAUCCUGAUGUUCUCGGAUGGAUUUGAGUAAGAGCAUACGGGGCCGGACCCGAAAGAAGGUGAACUAUGCCUGUAUAGGGUGAAGCCAGAGGAAACUCUGGUGGAGGCUCGCAGCGGUUCUGACGUGCAAAUCGAUCGUCAAAUAUGGGCAUGGGGGCGAAAGACUAAUCGAACCUUCUAGUAGCUGGUUUCCGCCGAA